CCAGCAGCUGCGGUAAUUCCAGCUCCAAUAGCGUAUAUUAAAGUUGUUGCAGUUAAAAAGCUCGUAGUUGGAUUUCUGGCAGGAGCGUCCGGUCUCACACUCAGUGCGGGAACUUGGAUGUCUCUGGCCGUCAUUGGGGAGAUCCUGUUUGGCAUUAAGUUGUCGAGCAGGGGAUACCCAUCGUUUGCUGUGAAAAAAUUAGAGUGUUUAAAGCAGGCUUAUGCCGUUGAAUAUAUUAGCAUGGAAUAAUAAAAUAAGUCUUUGGUACUAUUUUGUUGGUUUGCGCACCAGAGAAAUGAUUAAUAGGGACAGUUGGGGCUAUUCGUAUUCCAUUGUCAGAGGUGAAAUUCUUGGAUUUCUGGAAGACGAACUACUGCGAAAGCAUUUAGCAAGGAUGUUUUCAUUAAUCAAGAACGAAAGU
rnacentral:rRNA from 1 species